rnacentral:rRNA from 1 species
GACAGAGGGUGCAAACGUUGUUCGGAAUUACUGGGCGUAAAGCGCGUGUAGGCUGCUCGGAAAGUCGGAUGUGAAAGCCCUGGGCUCAACCUAGGAAGAGCAUUCGAAACUUCUGAGCUUGAGUUUCGGAGAGGAAGGCGGAAUUCUCGGUGUAGAGGUGAAAUUCGUAGAUAUCGAAAGGAACACCGGUGGCGAAGGCGGCCUUCUGGACGAAAACUGACGCUGAGACGCGAAAGCGUGGGGAGCAAACAGG